rnacentral:rRNA from 1 species
UACGGAGGGUGCAAACGUUGCUCGGAAUCAUUGGGCGUAAAGCGCACGUAGGUGGCUUGUUAAGUCGGGUGUGAAAUCCCUGGGCUCAACCCAGGAAGUGCACUCGAAACUGGCGAGCUUGAGUACUGAAGAGGGUCGCGGAAUUCCCGGUGUAGCGGUGAAAUGCGCAGAUAUCAGGAGGAACAGCCAAUGGCGAAGGCAGCACUCUGGGACGGUACUGACGCUGAGACGCGAAAGCGUGGGGAGCAAACAGG